GCCGUGGCCUGGCCAGCGGCGGCCGCUGCUGCGACCGUCUCAGCGCCAGCUGCGGGACCAUCAACUCCCGCUGGCCCUCUGUCCGCCUGGUCUCUCUCUGCGGCCUCCUGCUGAGCCUGCAGCACACGCACGACCACAGUUUUUGAUGGCGUAACAAGUACAUCCUGGUUGCAGGAGAAGUAAAAUUUCGGUUCUGCUGGCCUUGCCUGCAUCAGUGCUCAGACCUGGUCUAUCUGAUCCUGCUGUCCUCGGUACACCGUCUCCGGGUCCGACGGAGGCCUUAACCGGAAUUCGGAAUCGCAGAAAUUGCCAUCUCCGUCCACGUUGUGAAGACUCUCCCACACGACCUUCUCUUCUGUCAGGAAACCUUGAUCGGUCACCAAUGCUACUACUUGGAGAACAAAAACAUCAAGUGGAUGGAUGGAGGGAUGCUCGUCUGUACUUAAUGUACCGUAUGCCUAAUGAGGAUGGCAUCACUCUCUCACAUGACAAGUGUCCCAGCGAGGAAAGAAUGACUUGUGUAAGUGGGUCACCAGUGUGGCGCCACUCUUACGUCUCGCUUUGAUUUGGCCAGUGGUUUGUCUCUCAAGUGGCUUUGCAAAGGUGAGUCCAUUAGAAAUAUGCACUGCAGAAGAAUGUGCCUCCCAAUGAACUGAUGUUAUCUAUCUCUCAGUUCUGCCUCAGUGUUGUUUUGUAUUUGUGAAGCAAUACCUGAACGGUAAGUUACCCUACUAGUGGCAAGUAGUAAAAACUGCUUUGCUAUUAAACGGCGAUGCGGCUGAUUAACAGAAGCUCCUCCGCUCACUUCAACAUAUGGGUGGUUCCAUGAAAUGCUUUAUUACAGUAUUUAUAUUAAUCCACCCAAGCCUCCCAAAAACAACAAAAAUAUAUAUUUUUUGCUUCAAUUCAAUGAAUAUUGUGCUGCUCCUUCUGGUGUGCACUUAUUGGCAUCCUGAGGGCAGUAAAAUACAAACAUGGAGACACAUGAAGAGGUUCACAAGCUGCAUUAACAUUCUACAAGUACAAUUCCUUGGGGAGACUAGUAACGAUUGUCCGUAAAUUUGCAAAGUUGUUUAACGUAACAGUAUUGCCGAUAUAUUUGACUUAAGAUUUCAUGGACAACAAUUAAGGGGGGGGGGGGUUAACUUGUAAUGUGUUGCAGUGUAAGACAAGCGGGGAAGAAGCACAAGGAGAACCCAGAGAGACGUAUUGACCUUCGCCUGCCAGCUCACUGUUGUCUGACUGUUUACAGGAUAUUAUCUUCUCCACCAGCUGGUUGUAGCUGCAGUUGCCCACUGCCUUGACAAUGUCGCACAUCUGCAAAUGAAGAUAGACAUUGUGGAGAAAGAACAGUUGCCAAGAACUGAUGCAAAGCUACUAUUAGUCAUGACAAAAAAUGCAGAGUUGAAACAAGCAACCCGACUAGUAUGAAAUAGCACAAUUAUUUUAGCUCAUUUCCACUAGUGUGAAUGAGCCAGCCGUACCUGGGGGUCCACUAGCCAGCCGUGGUAGAGGGGGAUAUCCAGCAGAUCGAACACAAUGCAUUCUGGAGUGUACUCAAAAACUCGCACGCCUGUGAACUUCACAUUCACAUCCAGGCCUGUCUGGAGCUUGUGCAACACUGCCAUGGCGUCGCUCAUGUUCUAAGAGGAAGAAAAAAGAAAGGGGGGGGGGUGUAAAAUAUGUUUGCAAAUGUCCUAUUUCGAUUUAACACGACGACUGAAGCAAAGCUAAAAUCAGAGGAUUUGGACAAUUUUUAGUUAAACAGUGGCUCUAAAUGUUAACUCGAGUAUUAAAUUUGAUCAUCAGUUAGUUUUCAAUUAAUCGAUUAAUUUUGACACCCGUAGGAAAUUAAAAGACACAAAAAGGUGAAUUCAUGAAUAGAUGGCGAUUACGGUAAACCCACGAAUGAAUAUGCAGUAAUGAAAACACGUUUUUUAACAGACAUGAAUAGCGUCCAAUACGAGCAGUGUGCAUUCUAGCUUGCACACUGACAGGAUAACAGCCCAUUGAUUUUUCUGCCUUUACAAGAAACCAUUAGCUGCUUGGCGGUUAUUGCUUUCAGCCGUAGCACAGCCUCUCUUCCUCCGGUCUGUCCGGUUUGACCAUGUGAUGACAUACAUGUGACAUGAUAAUGUCAAUGAUGAUGGCUGUUGAGCCAUUCAGCCAAGCAAAUCAACAGGAUGAUCAUUAGAGAAAAUUGAAGCCGGAAGAAGAAAAGAGACGUGCUAGAGUAUGAAGAGCAAGCGGCAGGCGCCCACACGGAACCUGAUGAAUCCGAGUCCGACCCAUUCUUGCAUUCAGCCCUAAAGCGUCUCCCUGCUGGCUGCAAGCUACGUUGCCAUUAAAGUCUGGACUCAGGAUAAACCCUGCAGCUGAGGCCUACAUCUCAGUUAUGACUGACAUCUGAGCGCUUCAACGUUUUCAUGACACCGCUGGGAGGAAACAAGAUGUGCUGCUGGAGCAAGGACAGGCCGCAACGUAGGCAGCCCACAGGAGAUGGGAGGAAGCAGAGGAAGCAAAGUGGAGCUCUAUCUCCAACCCGAGCGCCUCUCGCAUGGUGAACCGCACACACAAAGCAAACCUCAGUAAUAGCCAGAGGCUGAACCCAGCCGUGCGUCUCCAAGCAUUUACCGCCAUUGCCAGCGACAGCACACACCCCUGACCUCUGUUGUUCGCAGUCUCCAAAGACGCUCUUAUGUAAUACACAGCUAUGUAGAAAGAACUAAGCUUUACUGCUGUCAACUCUGCGUAAAUGGUUGCAGUCAAGAACAUCCUCAUCUCUACACUGUCAAAAAAAAAAAAGGCUUCGUUUGUUGUUGUUCUCCAAGGUACACUUUUGCAUUAUUCAUUAGUCAUGCUGUGCAUUGAUCAAGUACCGUAGUAAAGACUUACCUGUUCAUAAUUUAGUCGCUGGGCCUCAGAGAUCUCUUUGGGUUUGGUUUCCAGGAUGUAGUCUCCUGCAGGGGCACACAAAGAUUGCUCAGUAUGGCCAAGUCAAGGCAAGUUUCUUAAUUACAUUUAAAUCCUCAAAGAGGAACACUCACCAAGAUAUUCCAUCAGUUGCUCGGCUGUAAUAAUCUCCAUCAUCGGCGGCAUCUUAACCUGUGACAGAGAGAUACAAAGCAACUAUGUCGGGUAUGGUAUAACAGGUACAGGUGUCUUUUUUUUUUUUUAAACUGCUUGUUUUCAUUAGGGUUGCCGGCAAGGUGCAAAAGCUAUUAUUCACAAAUAACAUUGUUCGUCUAUCUUGUGACAGGCAGAACAAUUAUACGCUCUUCCACUAGAUGGCAGAACGUAUUAUGCAGUCGUAUUUACUUUUUAUCCAUUUUUUGUAACAUCUUAGUUUAGCACGUGCUGUAAGAACGUGACGGAAAAUAGACGAUAUUAGAAUAUUUCAUAAUGUUUGUAAGCAAUACGCAUCUGGUUUUUGACCCUUUCACCUGAAGUCAGCUGACCCCAACUCACAUGACCCUCAACAAGAUAAUGCAGUAUAAAGAUGGAUGGAAAGAAACCACUGCCUAAGGCAAGCAGAAGGACGUUCAUGAUGGCAAGCAGCGGGCAGGGGCCGUUCUCGUUCUGGGUGAUGAUCGGCGUGUUCUCCUCCCUCCACUUGAUCCAUUUGAUGUGGUAGAUCGACUGGCCGGCCGCUCGGUCCUUGGCGCA